GACGAACGCUGGCGGCGUGCCUAACACAUGCAAGUCGAACGGGACCGGGGGCAACUUCGGUUCAGUGGCGGACGGGUGCGUAACACGUGGGGAACAUGACCUUCGGCGGGGGAUAGCCGGCCCAACGGCCGGGUAAUACCGCGUACGACCAUUCGGGGACAUCCCUGGGUGGUGAAAGCAGCAAUGCGCCGAUGGAGUGCCUCGCGGCCUAUCAGCUAGUUGGUGGGGUAACGGCCUACCAAGGCGACGACGGGUAGCUGGUCUGAGAGGAUGGCCAGCCACAUUGGGACUGAGACACGGCCCAGACUCCUACGGGAGGCAGCAGUGGGGAAUAUUGCGCAAUGGACGAAAGUCUGACGCAGCGACGCCGCGUGUGGGAUGAAGGUCUUCGGAUUGUAAACCACUGUCGGGAGGGACGAAUACGCCGCAAGGCGGGUGACGGUACCUCCAAAGGAAGCACCGGCUAACUCCGCGCCAGCCGCCGCGGUAACAC
rnacentral:rRNA from 1 species